UAACUGCAUAGUCUAAGUGGUCGUUGAGCCCUAGGUUCAAGGUUAAAAGGGAAACCGGUGAAAUUCCGGUACAGUCACCUCUGCUGUGAAGCGGACGAGGAAAUAGAAGCCAUUGAAUAGCAAUUUGAGAAGGCAUUUCCAAGGAUGAAGCAAAGUCAGAACACCUGCCAUGUAUAUAGAGUAUUU
rnacentral:ncRNA from 2 species